GACGAACGCUGGCGGCGUGCUUAACACAUGCAAGUCGAACGGAAAGGCCCCCUUGUGGGGUACUCGAGUGGCGAACGGGUGAGUAACACGUGAGUAACCUACCCUUGACUUUGGGAUAACUUCAGGAAACUGGGGCUAAUACCGGAUAGGAGCUCCUGCUGCAUGGUGGGGGUUGGAAAGUUUCGGCGGUUGGGGAUGGACUCGCGGCUUAUCAGCUUGUUGGUGGGGUAGUGGCUCACCAAGGCUUUGACGGGUAGCCGGCCUGAGAGGGUGACCGGCCACAUUGGGACUGAGAUACGGCCCAGACUCCUACGGGAGGCAGCAGUGGGGAAUAUUGCACAAUGGGCGGAAGCCUGAUGCAGCAACGCCGCGUGCGGGGUGACGGCCUUCGGGUUGUAAACCGCUUUCGCCUGUGGCGAAGCGUGAGUGACGGUAAUGGGUAAAGAAGCACCGGCUAACUACGUG
rnacentral:rRNA from 1 species